rnacentral:rRNA from 1 species
UAGGGAAUAUUGGACAAUGGGCGCAAGCCUGAUCCAGCCAUGCCGCGUGAGUGAAGAAGGCCCUCGGGUUGUAAAGCUCUUUUGUCCGGAAAGAAAAGCAUCGGGCUAAUACCCUGGUGUUCUGACGGUACCGGAAGAAUAAGCACCGGCUAACUUCGUGCCAGCAGCCGCGGUAAUACGAAGGGUGCAAGCGUUACUCGGAAUUACUGGGCGUAAAGCGUGCGUAGGUGGUUUGUUAAGUCUGAUGUGAAAGCCCUGGGCUCAACCUGGGAAUGGCAUUGGAAACUGGCGGACUCGAGUGCGGUAGAGGGGUGUGGAAUUCCCGGUGUAGCAGUGAAAUGCGUAGAGAUCGGGAGGAACACCAGUGGCGAAGGCGACACCCUGGACCAGCACUGACACUGAGGCACGAAAGCGUGGGGAGCAAACAGGAUUAGAUACCCUGGUAGUCCACGCCCUAAACGAUGCGAACUGGAUGUUGGGUGCAACUUGGCACUCAGUAUCGAAGCUAACGCGUUAAGUUCGCCGCCUGGGGAGUACGGUCGCAAGACUGAAACUCAAAGGAAUUGAC